rnacentral:rRNA from 1 species
CAAAGCACUUUGAAGAGAGAGUUAAAGAGGACGUGAAACCGGUAGGAUGGAAACGGAUAGAGCCAGCGAAGUCGCUCGUAUUCAGCCAAAAGUCUGGGGUUGCCUGUCGUCGUGUUUCUAAUAGAGGUCGGCGGUUUGUCUUCUCUGGAUUGAGGUGCAUUUGCGGGCGUUUGCGCUGAGACUUGCGAGGCAGCUGCGGGACCGGCGUUUAGAGGCUUCCCAUUGGGUUGAACCUGGGCGCCGUUACAGCUGUUUGCCUUGCUCGUACUGGUCUGGCCUACGGACCCUGCUCGUGCUGUUGUCAACUGGCCAAGGCAUCGCAUGCGAUGUCUAGCCUGGGGGCUGCAGCGCGGGUUGGUGUCCCCGGAUCGCCUCUCGGUGUAGAAGCUGGUCAUCUCUCCGACCCGUCUUGAAACACGGACCAAGGAGUUUAGCGUAUGCGCGAGUCAUUGGGUGUUAAAACCCACAGGCGCAAUGAAAGUGAAGGCUCGGUCGCCGGGCUGACAUGCGAGUGCCGCGGCUUCGGCCCAGGCAUGCAGCAUGGUCCCAUUGCAAUCGUUUACGAUACAGUGGAGACAGAGCGUAUGCGCUGAGACCCGAAAGAUGGUGAACU